AGAACGAACGCUGGCGGCGUGCCUAACACAUGCAAGUCGUGCGAGAAAAGGGGGGCAACUCCCUGAGUACAGCGGCGCACGGGUGAGUAACACGUAGGUAACCUACCCUCGAGCCUGGGAUAACCUACCGAAAGGUGGGCUAAUACCGGAUGUGACCACGGGAGUUUCGGCUCCUGAGGUAAAAGAUGGCCUCUGCUUGCAAGCUAUCACUCGUUGAGGGGCCUGCGUGCCAUUAGCUAGUUGGCGGGGUAAUGGCCCACCAA
rnacentral:rRNA from 1 species